CGAGCGGUAAGGCCCCUUCGGGGGUACACGAGCGGCGAACGGGUGAGUAACACGUGAGCAAUCUACCCAUCACAUCGGGAUAACUCCGGGAAACCGAAGCUAAUACCGAAUACGACCACCUCAGGCAUCUGAUGGUGGUGGAAAGUUCCGGCGGUGAUGGAUGAGCUCGCGGCCUAUCAGCUUGUUGGUGGGGUAACGGCCCACCAAGGCUUCGACGGGUAGCCGGCCUGAGAGGGUGACCGGCCACACUGGGACUGAGACACGGCCCAGACUCCUACGGGAGGCAGCAGUGGGGAAUAUUGGACAAUGGGCGAAAGCUUGAUCCAGCAACGCCGCGUGAGGGAUGACGGCCUUCGGGUUGUAAACUCUUUCAGCAGGGACGAAGCGAAAGUGACGGUACCUGCAGAAGAAGCACCGGCCAACUACGUGCCAGCAGCCGCGGUAAUACGUAGGGUGCGAGCGUUGUCCGGAAUUAUUGGGCGUAAAGGGCUCGUAGGCGGUCUGUCGCGUCGGGAGUGAAAACUCAGGGCUUAACCCUGAGCCUGCUUCCGAUACGGGCAGACUAGAGGUAUGCAGGGGAGAAUGGAAUUCCUGGUGUAGCGGUGAAAUGCGCAGAUAUCAGGAGGAACACCGGUGGCGAAGGCGGUUCUCUGGGCAUUACCUGACGCUGAGGAGCGAAAGUGUGGGGAGCGAACAGGAUUAGAUACCCUGGUAGUCCACACCGUAAACGUUGGGCGCUAGGUGUGGGACUCAUUCCACGAGUUCCGUGC
rnacentral:rRNA from 1 species